rnacentral:rRNA from 1 species
AUACGUAGGGGGCAAGCGUUAUCCGGAUUUACUGGGUGUAAAGGGAGCGCAGGCGGUCUUGCAAGUCUGAUGUGAAAGCCCGGGGCUCAACCCCGGGACUGCAUUGGAAACUGUGAGACUUGAGUGUCGGAGGGGCAAGUGGAAUUCCUAGUGUAGCGGUGAAAUGCGUAGAUAUUAGGAGGAACACCAGUGGCGAAGGCGGCUUGCUGGACGACAACUGACGCUGAGGCUCGAAAGCGUGGGGAGC